rnacentral:lncRNA from 1 species
AUGCAUUUGCAUGAAGUUGUGCAAAGUAGUCUCUUAAAUGUUUAAUAUUUUCUUCUGCUUCAAUGCUUACAUCUCCCUUUUUUUUUUUUUUUAUUGUUGUGUCUUUUUCUUUUUUAAUUGAAGGUCCCUUACUGGUUCUGCUUCCAUGAGUGGCUAUGAACAGGGGAAAGGGGGAGGGGAACCAGGUGGCGCAUGAAGGGGUCGUCUCCACAUCAUUCCAUUUAUACACAGAACUAAACAGAUAAGCACAGAGUCACUAUUGCGGUUAGAAGUUGGUCAGGAACUGGGGUGUCGUUAAAAAAAAUACAGGCCCUUCCCCCAAACAGUGGUGCCUGGGGGGAACUUGAUCUGUUUCAACCCAAGAGGAAUCAGAAGAUCAAAAACGGUUUGGAAAGGCCAGAACCGUCAGGGGUGGCGGUAGGAGGGGGAAGGUCCACUUGGGGGGGUGCUGUUUGGCAACUGGGGUAAAGGGAUUGCCCUCCCCCUGCUGGGAUCCCCCCAGCCCCUCUGGUUUGGCAGGAAGGGGGCAGCCUGCAACCCCCGUGGGCAGGUCUGGGGCUGCCAGAUGCUCCAGGCAGGGGGCUGGAGGGGGCUCACAAAGGCUUGCUCUCCAGGGAGAUGACGGCGCUGCCCCCCGGCUUCUCUGCCAGGGUGCGGCGGUCCUUGACCUGCUCGUAGCAGUUCGCUUGUAAUUCAUGCUUGAUCCCUGUCAGCUUCUUCUUGAUGGCAUCCUUGGAGCUGGCGUAGAUCAUUUUGCUCUUCAGGGGUGCACACUCAGGGGCCCACAAGAUGAACACUUUGAUGACCCCGUCAGAGACAGCCAUACCAGAGGCCAUAUUUCCGGAAGCGAAAAGGAGAUAGUAAGGAGAGCCAGAAAAGACAAGCUGCUUCAGCUGCUGCCGGGAUCCGACUCCCUUGUCAUUUCUUGUUUUGUAUAUUUUUUCCCUUUUUCUUUUCAUGAUUAGGUGAGCUGGUAGUUUAUCUUUUUUUUUUUUUUCCAAAGAACUACUCAGGUUAUUUUCCCCAAAGAUUAAUUUACUAAUACCUUUAUUUUUCCUAUUCUAAUAAUUAACGUCUGCUUUUAAUCUUUUUUUUUUUUUUCCUUCUCCCUGCUUUCUUUUCAUUUAUUUUACUGUUCUCUUUACAGGAUUUUUUGGUUUUUUUGCUUUU